AUGAUCAGGAUUACAGAUGACACUGUUCACAUUUUGUUUGUCGGACUAUAUAUGUCUUAAGGACAAUUAACCAUCUCCAUAUCUAUACGAUGAACCGUCAACAUGAAAACUGAAGACUCCUCUCUGGAUGCGGUCAGCAAAACACUGUAAGUUCACACUAAUCCUCAAGUGUGUGUUCAUUGGAAUUCAUGAAAACAUGAUCAAAUACAGCAUAAGGAAAUCAAAUGAAAGUUGUUCUUGAGAGAGUGUUUAAACUAAAACUGUUAUCUACUUUUAGGACAUAUUUCUAGAGUCCUUACCAGGUAAAGAAAAUAUGAUCAUAUUUCCCCAAUUUUACCGUCUCUGCACUGGCUAUCUCUUAAGUUCCAUAUCAGUUACAAAAUAUUAUUACUUGCCUAUAAUGCCCUUAAUGGGUUAGCUCCUGCGU